rnacentral:rRNA from 1 species
UCGAACGAAGUAGCAAUACUUAGUGGCAGACGGGUGAGUAACAUGUAGGUAUCUGCCCUUUGGCCUGGAAUAACACGAGGAAACUUGUGCUAAUACCGGAUAAGUCUUUACGGAGAAAGCUUUAUGCACCAUUGGAUGAGCCUGCACUUGAUUAGUUUGUUGGUGGGGUAAUGGCCUACCAAGACUGUGAUCAAUAGCUGAUUUGAGAGGAUGAUCAGCCACAUUGGGACUGAGACACGGCCCAAACUCCUACGGGAGGCAGCAGUGGGGAAUCUUGCACAAUGGAGGAAACUCUGAUGCAGCGAUGCCGCGUGAGUGAAGAAGGCCCUUGGGUUGUAAAGCUCUUUCGUCGGGGAAGAAAAUGACUGUACCCGAAUAAGAAGGUCCGGCUAACUUCGUGCUAGCAGCCGCGGUAAUACGAAGGGACCUAGCGUAGUUCGGAAUUACUGGGCUUAAAGAGUUCGUAGGUGGUUGAAAUAGUUGGUGGUGAAAUCCCAGAGCUUAACUCUGGAACUGCCAUCAAAACUUUUCAGCUAGAGUAUGAUAGAGGAAAGCAGAAUUUCUAGUGUAGAGGUGAAAUUCGUAGAUAUUAGAAAGAAUACCAAUUGCGAAGGCAGCUUUCUGGAUCAUUACUGACACUGAGGAACGAAAGCAUGGGUAGCGAAGAGGAUUAGAUACCCUCGUAGUCCAUGCCGUAAACGAUGUGUGUUAGACGUUGGAAAUUUAUUUUCAGUGUCGCAGGGAAACCGAUAAACACACCGCCUGGGGAGUACGACCGCAAGGUUAAAACUCAAAUGAAUUGACGGGGACCCGCACAAGUAGUGGAGCAUGUGGUUUAAUUCGAAGAUACGCGCAGAACCUUACCAACACUUGACAUGUUCGUCGCGACUCUAAGAGAUUAGAGUUUUCGGUUCGGCCGGACGAAACACAGGUGCUGCAUGGCUGUCGUCAGCUCGUGUCGUGAGAUGUUGGGUUAAGUCCCGCAACGAGCGCAACCCUCACUUUUAGUUGCCAUCAUUAAGUUGGGCACUC